rnacentral:lncRNA from 1 species
UGUUCGCACGAGAUUUCCGGAGAAAUUUAAUUCGUGGACUUGAACUUGGAGUUGAUGUUGUAUUUUUGUUGAUUUGAUGCGAUGCGGUUCAAUCUCUAGAAUUUGAUCCUCUGAUUCUCUCUCAACUGUAUGUCUACGCUUGAUUUGGAGGAAGCGGAGCACGUGAUGUUCUUGGAAGUUUGUUGAACGUCUACACUUGAUUUGGAGAAGCGGAGCACGUGAUGUUCUUGAAGUUUAUUGAACGUCUACGCUUGAUUUGGAGAAGCGGAGCACGUGAUGUUCUUGAAGUUUGUUGAACGUCUACGCUUGAUUUGGAGAAGCGGAGCACGUGAUGUUCUUCAAGUUGGUUGAAUGCUUACGCUUGAUUUGAGGAAGCGGAGCACGUGAUGUUCUUGAAGUUGGAGUCUUGGAAUAAAGUUUGUAUCUUCAAAGCAGCUUCAAUCUUCGAGGGUGGUCAACUUCAGAAGUUAGGGAGUCUUCUAGCUCUUGGAAGAAUUCUCUCUGGAUCUUCUAGAGUCAAAAUUUUCCAACCCCUGCAAAUGAAGAGAAUUCCUCUAUUUAUAGAGUUCACUGGUGGGCUUUAUGGGUUUGAACUUGGUUGGUCCAUGGACCAGACCCAUGGGCUCAACCAUAUGGACUUAGGUUAUAUUUAGUCUUUGGGCUCAAUUAAGCUUAUUUUUUUUGCUUAAUUGAACUAAAAUGAUUAACUUAAUCCAACGAUUAAUAUGAAAACAUGUGGCAUUAUUAGAAUGACCAAUUUAUUUA